rnacentral:lncRNA from 1 species
AUGUAAGGGCCUGAAAUAAAUAAGGCUAUUGGGUCUUAUGUUAAGGCAGUUAGGCCCAUAGACUAAGGGUACCUUAGCCUUAGAAGGGACUUUUCAGAAAUCCAAGUUCAUUACACAGUUUUCCUUUCUCUCUCUAAAAAAAACAAAAACCCUUUUUUCCCUAAAAGGUUCUCUGCCUUCUCUCUAGAAUUCCCACUCAUUGAACC